rnacentral:tRNA from 1 species
GGGGAUUUGGCUCAGUGGUAGAGCGCUUGCCUAGCAAGCUCAAGACCCUGGGUUCGGUCCCCAGCUCCG